AGCUCUGCUGCCUUAAAUAUUCACAGAAUUGUUUGCAUUGGAAAGCCCUAAAACCUGCCAUGGACAGGGACACCUUCCAUAGGCUGCUCAGAGCUCCAUCCAUCCUGGCCUUGGAUGCCUCCAGGGACGGAAACAUUUUUGGAAAAUAAGUUUUUGAGUUGUUGAGCCAAAUCAGUUGUUGAGCUGGUAAAAUAACUCAGUCUCUGAGCAGGAACUUAGAGCCUUUGCUUUGCUUUAAACCCAGCCUGCUCUGGAGCACAACACCAGCUGCCCUUCCCUGAGCCCAGUUCCCUCACCCCGCUGGGCCGGGGCAGCCAGCUGAGCACAGCUGAGGCUGGUGCAGCGUUCCAGGGUGCCAGAACAAGGCCGUGUUCCCUUGCAGCUCGGAGGAGCCGGACGAGAAGAAGCUGCUGACGGAGGACGCGGGGCUGGCGGCGGCGCAGCUCAUGGACGGGGACAUGCAGGUCAACCAGGCCGCCUACAACUACAACGCCUGGUACCAGUACAACUACCAGAACGCCUGGAAUUACGGACAGUAUUACCACACAACCUGAUCCCCGCAGGGAGUGGAGUUCACUGUGCUGCAGUUUCAACAAAGAUGG